rnacentral:rRNA from 1 species
UGGGGAAUCUUGCGCAAUGGGCGAAAGCCUGACGCAGCGACGCCGCGUGCGGGACGAAGGCCUUCGGGUCGUAAACCGCUUUCAGCAGGGACGAGGCCCUCUGGGUGACGGUACCUGCAGAAGAAGCCCCGGCUAACUACGUGCCAGCAGCCGCGGUAAUACGUAGGGGGCGAGCGUUAUCCGGAUUCAUUGGGCGUAAAGCGCGCGUAGGCGGCCUGUUAGGUCGGGGGUCAAAUCCCGGGGCUCAACCCCGGUCCGCCCCCGAUACCGGCAGGCUUGAGUCUGGUAGGGGAAGGCGGAAUUCCCAGUGUAGCGGUGGAAUGCGCAGAUAUUGGGAAGAACACCGGCGGCGAAGGCGGCCUUCUGGGCCACGACUGACGCUGAGGCGCGAAAGCUAGGGGAGCGAACAGGAUUAGAUACC